GCUGAGUCAGCACAUAGGAGGCCAUGGAGCCUGCAAGAGAGAAGCUGGAGCAGCAGCAGCCAUCCCAUGGUCUGUUGUCAACAACAGUGAAAAGCAAGCCUCCACAGUAGUGAUGGUGGAACUGAAAGUGAGCAGAUGUGGGACCUCACGGAAUCGCCAGGUCUUCCAUCCACAACAAAUUCCCUAGCCAAGAAAAUAUGACAGCCUCAUUCUGCCUUCUGCAUAUGCACUCCUGAUCCACAGGGUGCAGAGCCUGCCUGGAGACUGGGUUGGGAAUGAGGUCUGGGAAUCUCAGAUCUGGGC
rnacentral:lncRNA from 1 species